CACUUGCAAAGUAUUCUCUUGGAACGUGUUAGUCGUUUCACGUUUGAACACUUUGGAUGCUGCCUGACCUGCUGGGCUCCUCUAGCGGAGUGUUUUAUCCCCAAUUUAUGUCUAAUUUCAUUGAAAGUUGAAAAUGGUCAAACUGAAUAAAGUAAGUAUCUAUUAGAAAUGAGACAGAAG